rnacentral:rRNA from 1 species
AGCUCCAAUAGCGUAUAUUAAAAUUGUUGCAGUUAAAAAGCUCGUAGUUGAACAUGUGUUAGCACACUUAAGCUCGUCUUUUAGACGCUUGCUUUAGUGUCUUACAUUUUUGCUGGACGUGCACGUGUAGUUAACUCUGUACGUGUAUAGCCAGCCUUUUACUUUGAGAAAAUUAGAGUGUUUCAAGCAAGUUUGCGCUUUGCAUACUACAGCAUGGAAUAAUUUUACAUGAUCUACUUUCUUGUAUUAUGGGUUCGAAGAUUUAGAUAAUGAUGAAUAGGGACAGUUGGGGGCAUUCAUAUUUGACUGUCAGAGGUGAAAUUCUUGGAUUUGUCAAAGAUGAACUACUGCGAAAGCAUCUGCCAAAGAUGUUUUCA